UACAGAUUAUAGUUACCGAUUAUAGUAGAAACCUAUAUUUAGGUUAGUAAUGUUUCCUAGAUAUGCAAAGAUGUAUUUGAGAUAGAUAAAUAACCUUCAACCAUCUCAAAGACCUUCAGAAAAUGUCAUUAAAAUUGGUUUAGGUUUUUUCACAAUAGUGGUACACAACUGCUCCUGACACACCAAUUAUGUCUGAGAGUAUGAUUGGCAUCGAAGAAAGUCAUUUCGGGGUUUACCUUCACCAUGGGAAAGCAGCCAUUUGGGUAAGAAUGUGCUCUUUCCUGGACUGUUUGACUGUUGCUGUAUAAUCAGGAAAUGCAGUAUCCAAAGGAAACAGAAUGCUGAACAUAAUGGGUUAGUUCUAAAGGGUUGCUACUUCAUAGAAGAUUCUGUCAGGCAUUCUGCUUCACACAGAAAAGAUGACUGACAAACUGGCAAUCCAAUUGAACAGUUUAAAAUUUCCUAUUUUGCUGAGAAGUCUGCCAGACACAUUGUGACCUAUUGGUUGAAUAUGGAUUCUCCAACGUUACAGAGGGUCUUCAAGUGACUGUACAGAUAGGAAGACUGCAGCAGCUGCAGGACAUGCAUGGAAAACCUUGACAAUUUGGCUGCAGGAGUCCAGUUUUCUAAGAUCCUACAGGGACCAUCUGAACCCUAAACCGAAUUUGUGGACUCGCUCUUACAACUUGUGGGUUGUAUAUUUGGGGAUAAUGAUAACGCCAUUCCUUUGGUGCCAAAAUUGGAGGUCCCACCAAGAUCCAGAGAGACUUGGAAGGACUGGGAAAAAUCAGCCAGAAAGAAGAAUCUGGAGAGGAGAGACUCAAGAAGAAACGAUUUGAAAACAGAAAAUAAAAGCAGUGGGUUCCUUGCAGACUAGUGUGGUUUGAUGAAGCAAGCCCACCUUAAGCAGUGGCCCAUGUGAUCCAACAUCUAAAACACCUGAGAUGAUGCAGCCUUGAAGACUACAAAACCAAGGACUUCAACAGUUUUUUUUUCAUAAUACCCCUGGCAUUUCAGUGCUCCUUAACAGCAGGAAGUAGUUUGGAAGAACAACACUCACAUUCCCAAAUAUUGUUUUAAAAUGUUUGUUUACAUUUA